rnacentral:misc_RNA from 1 species
GAUGAAGAACGCAGCAAAAUGCGAUAAGUAAUGUGAAUUGCAGAAUUCAGUGAAUCAUCGAAUCUUUGAACGCACAUUGCGCCCGCUGGUAUUCCGGCGGGCAUGCCUGUUCGAGCGUCAUUUCAACCCUCAAACCCCCGGGUUUGGUGUUGGGGAUCGGCUCUGCCUCACGGCGGUGCCGCCCCCGAAAUACAUUGGCGGUCUCGCUGCAGCCUCCAUUGCGUAGUAGCUAACACCUCGCAACUGGAACGCGGCGCGGCCAUGCCGUAAAACCCCAACUUCUGAAUGUUGACCUCGGAUCAGGUAGGAAUACCCGCUGAACUUAAGCAUAUCAAUAAGCGGAA